CUAGGAACAAGAUUGCUACUCCUUUCUGCCGUUUAGCUAACGGGAUCAGAAGUGGCGGGGCGUGAUGUGUGUUUAGGAUUUGCACUCCCAAUUCCUGACACCCGCCGAGUUGCUUCAGGCUGAUUAUCGCCUUUCCCAGGAAAAGGAGUUUGGGGAGAAGUGAUGCAUCAUGGGAAGGGAAGUAGAAUGGAUUAAUUGAAUUCAGCUAAACACCCCUUUUCUACCACCUUCUCUACCUUAUCCUCAGGGUUGCAGCAGGAGCCAUCCUUUAUGUACCUUCACAGAGAAUUUGGGACUGAGCUGGAGGAGAUGAAAAAUCCUGGCUGCAUGCAAGCAUCUGAUGUAUUUGUUCCUAAGGCCCAUCUACAUUAUCCCUGGGUUUUGUGAGACACCACCAUCUUUAUAAUAAAUUCCUCUUUUUGCUUAA